CAGCAGCCACGGUAAUACGGAAGGUCCGGGCGUUAUCCGGAUUUAUUGGGUUUAAAGGGAGCGUAGGCCGUGGAUUAAGCGUGUUGUGAAAUGCAGGUGCUCAACGUCUGCACUGCAGCGCGAACUGGUCCACUUGAGUGUGCGCAACGCAGGCGGAAUUCGUCGUGUAGCGGUGAAAUGCUUAGAUAUGACGAAGAACUCCGAUUGCGAAGGCAGCUUGCGGGAGCACAACUGACGCUGAAGCUCGAAAGUGCGGGUAUCGAACAGGAUUAGAUACCCCUGUAGUCCCUGUCUCUUAUAC
rnacentral:rRNA from 1 species